AACGGGCAUGCGAGGAUGGAGGAACGUUUCCAUGUCAAGGUGCCAGCCCCGGUGCCGGCGCUGGUGACGGUGAGGUCGGCAUAGCUGGAGACAGGUGAUGUGCCGCCGUCCUGACGACGCCGCACAUGACGGCGUCCCUGGGCACUUUGAGGUCACGCAUCCGAUCGACGCCCUCGACGAAGACGGCGCCCAUGCCCAUGUGGAGGUGCGGCUCGAUGUGGCAGUGGAACGCCCAUGCCCCCGUGUUGUUUGCCACGAACCUGAGCGCCGUCCACCCGUGCGGGAACACCACGACCGUGUUCCGUAGCGGCGGGUCGGCCGUGUUGAGCUGCUCCUCCUUCCCGGUGUACCGCCCUUCCCCGUAGCCCAGCACCCAGAAGUCGUGCCCGUGGAGGUGCCACGGGUGGGUCUCGCUGUCGUUGUCCCUCCUCAUGUCCGCGUUCUGCAGCACCACGUCCACCACGGCCCCGUGCGCCACCUCGUACACCCGGUCGCUCAGCUUCGUCUCGUACCCGUUCUGCUCCGGCGGCUUCUCCACGUCGUACUCCUCCGGGAACCCCUCCGGCGCCUGCUCCGACGCGUCGAACGCGCUGCCCUGGAGCCCGUAGUAGUACGCCCCGAGGUACGGCGUGGCGGGGAGCGCCAGGGACACGUUGUUGACGGACCAUUUCACGUGCCCGCCCACCAGGGCCUGCGUGUUGAGCAUCACGAUCGUCCUGUAAGCCUUCGGCGGCGGCGGUUCGUUGGUCUCGUUCCGGGCUUUGAUCUUGUAGGUGAAGUCCUUGCUCCGCUUCAGGUCGUCCCACGCGGGAGUCUCCGGAGGCGAGGCGAAACGGCCCGUCGGCCAUUCGGAUCUGCUGUUGGUGUAGUUUAGCAAGGCCGUGGCCGGGAGCGUCUUGGGCUCCCGUCCUCUGACGCCCACGGAGAUCCAGUAGGAGGAUGGGUUCUUGUCCGUCUUGAGGAGCACGGAGUAGCUCUCGCCGGAGUAGAUGUCGAGGUCCUUCACCGCGAACGGCUCCACGUGGUUGCCGUCCGCCUCCACCACCACCAGCUCAUGCUGUCAAAACACAGUUUUUUUUUGUUAAUUACUGGAGAGUGACAAGCUAGCUAGGAGUAUUUGCCAACGUAUCGAAAGAUGACUUUUGUUCGUUCGUUCGUUCGUUCGUAAUCGUACCCCUUGGACCUGCACGUUGAGAGCGGAGAGCGUGGUGGUGCUGGCGAUCCUGAGCCUGUAGGUCUUCCCUGGCUCCACGGCGAAGACGACGGGGGCGCACUGGCUCCGGGGGCAGUGCGGCCCGCACUCGCUUCGCCUCUCGCACUUGUCCACGUCGCGGCACGGCUGAUUCCACCAGAACCAGAAGGAGCCCGGCCGGUCGCAGGUCUUGGCUUUCCGGCCUGUGGGUAUGGCCCCGUGGUAACGGCUCACGGACCCCAGCAUGCACUCGUACUGCCCCCUCCCGUUGAUCAGGAUCGUCUGCAAAACAACGCGUGAUUUCCCAUCUUAAACACCUCUAUCAAUUAGUAGUAAUUUCUUCGUGUCCACCGUCAUUCUUAAGUUGGUAUACCUGAGGCUCGCCGAUCCACUGGAAGUGCUUGUCCUUGAGGUCAAGUCCCGCGGACUGCGCGUACACGUUCUCGUGGUACCAGUCGCUGAGGAGCAUGUUGAGCUCGCCGUCGUAGUCCUUCCGGUACGGCUCCCCUUGCUCCUCCGUGGCGUCCACGAUCAGCGACCCGUACAGCCCCGCCGCCCUCUGCAUCCCAAAGUGCCCGUGGUAGAAGUACGUCCCAGGCUGCAGCACACAUCAUUCUUUCCAUCAGCUGCCCCAAGUUAAUUAAAUUCUCGUGAAGUACUAAAUUGGUGUUAUUAAGAGUAUGUACCUUGUCGGCGACGAACUCGUAGGUGAAGGUCUCCCCGGCGGUGAUGGCGCACUGGGAUAUUGACGCCGUCCCGUCCGCCCACGGUGUACCGAACUGCGAAUAUGCAUGUUCAUUCAUUUCUUAAGGCAGAGCGAAAUACUUACUACGCUGAUCAACCGGGUUUGCUGACGUACCUGUCUCAUUCCGUGCCAGUGGAUGACGAGCCCCUCGGUGUGCAGCUUGUUCCGGACGGUGACGCUGACGAUGUCGCCGGCGCGGGCUCGGAUG
rnacentral:lncRNA from 1 species